rnacentral:lncRNA from 1 species
CAGUACAAGCGCAGCCGAGUCGGCAAAUAAGGCGAGUCGGAGGCUUGUGUGGAGCAAGCGCGCGUGGCCACCGCCGGGCAGGCUACGCUUUUAUUGUUGGGAGGAGGACGGGACGCUGCUUUCCUCUUCUCCACCCCGCCACUCCCGGUGGGGCCGCGGAGCGAGACGAGGGGUCAUGCAGGCGGAAUCGGGCAUUGUGCCGGACUUCGAGGUGGGCGAGGAGUUCCACGAGGAGCCCAAGAUCUACUAUGAGCUGAAAAGUCAGCCGCUGAAAAACAGAGCUACAACAAUUCAAUGUACUGUAGGUUCAAGACCAUGUGUGUUCUUCUAGCAUUAGGAAGAAAUAUCAAUAUCCCAC